rnacentral:rRNA from 1 species
GAUGAAUGCUGGCGGCGUGCUUAACACAUGCAAGUCGAGCGGCAGCGCGGUCUUCGGACUGGCGGCGAGCGGCGGACGGCUGAGUAACGCGUGGGAACGUGCCCCAAAGUGAGGAAUAACUGCCCGAAAGGGUGGCUAAUGCCGCAUAUGGUCUUCGAAUUAAAGGAUUUAUCCGCUUUGGGAGCGGCCUGCGUAUGAUUAGGUAGUUGGUGAGGUAAUGGCUCACCAAGCCGACGAUCAUUAGCUGGUCUGAGAGGAUGACCAGCCAGACUGGAACUGAGACACGGUCCAGACUCCUACGGGAGGCAGCAGUGAGGAAUCUUCCACAAUGGGCGAAAGCCUGAUGGAGCAACGCCGCGUGCAGGAUGAAGGCCUUCGGGUUGUAAACUGCUUUUAUAAGUGAAGAAUAUGACGGUAACUUAUGAAUAAGCACCGGCUAACUACGUGCCAGCCGCCGCAGUAA